ACGAACGCUGGCGGCGUGCUUAACACAUGCAAGUCGAACGGAAAGGCCUUUUCGGAGGUACUCGAGUGGCGAACGGGUGAGUAACACGUGGGUGAUCUGCCCUGCACUCUGGGAUAAGCCUGGGAAACUGGGUCUAAUACCGGAUAGGACCGCACUUUAGUGUGUGUGGUGGAAAGUUUUUUCGGUGUAGGAUGAGCCCGCGGCCUAUCAGCUUGUUGGUGGGGUAGUGGCCUACCAAGGCGGCGACGGGUAGCCGGACUGAGAGGUUGGUCGGCCACAUUGGGACUGAGAUACGGCCCAGACUCCUACGGGAGGCAGCAGUGGGGAAUAUUGCACAAUGGGCGCAAGCCUGAUGCAGCGACGCCGCGUGGGGGAUGACGGCCUUCGGGUUGUAAACUCCUUUCGCCAGGGACGAAGCGUUUUGUGACGGUACCUGGAGAAGAAGCACCGGCUAACUACGUG
rnacentral:rRNA from 1 species